AAGAUGGCGACCGGCGCACGGGUGAGUAACACGUAUCCAACCUGCCGAUAACUCCGGAAUAGCCUUUCGAAAGAAAGAUUAAGACCGGAUGGCAUACGAAUAUCGCAUGAUAUUUUUAUUAAAGAAUUUCGGUUAUCGAUGGGGAUGCGUUCCAUUAGUUUGUUGGCGGGGUAACGGCCCACCAAGACUACGAUGGAUAGGGGUUCUGAGAGGAAGGUCCCCCACAUUGGAACUGAGACACGGUCCAA
rnacentral:rRNA from 1 species